rnacentral:lncRNA from 1 species
AAGCCCCGCUGAUCUUGAACGUGAUUGGUCGGUGGGCGUAUAGAAUCUCCGUCGUCAGGGAGACUGCGAACACGGGGUAAACCAAGGGGUAAACAAUCUGUGCGUGGAAUGGGGAGUGGUGAAUGCGCAAGGGCGAUGAUAGGCGCUGAUGUCGUCGAUUUUUAUUUAUGCUAUUAUCCUUAUACAUUCUGAUCAUUUUUUAUGUUCAGGAGUUUUCUCUGUUGAUUUAACAUAAAAAGCGGUGUGUUUAACUGUUAUUGCCAAGUGCCAUAUUUAUAUUGAAAUUGGGGUACAAUUCAACAUUCACUGGUUUUUCUAUGGCCUGUUGUGCAUCAUAUUAUUGGAAUGGUAAUGUGAAUAUAGGUACUCCAUACACUGCUACUUUUGGGUAUAUAUAAAUGUUUGACCUGAUUUUACUUCACUUCACCUUAUAUUUUUUUGCAGGAACAGUUAUCACACCAUUAUUGUGCAAAAAAUAAGGGUGGUUUAACGCGGCACUCUGCCAGCCACUUUUGGCUUCCAUAGACAUCAACAAGCCUAUGCCUCCAACACUACCAGAGGUUGACGCUAGCUCCACGGAAUGUGCUGGCAGCUGCUGGCAGCGCGCCCAUGAAACACAGCCAGGGGUUUCCUCUGUAAAGUCAUUAUUGUCUAGGUACAUGAGCCUUUAGCAAUUGUUAACAGCUAUAAAAAUUGGAAUUAGAAAUGUUCAGGUAUUAUCAGCAUCAGCUAAACAGGGAAGAGAAUUCGGCUACAGCCCAUCUUGCAACGCCUCAAUGAAAUUUAACGAGAAACUUAAAUUGAGGGAGCAGCUACAUAACUGAGAUCCCGAAAGAAGAUAACAGCUUGUUUUCUUCACCGCCACCAGUCUACCUGCUCUCUGCACACUCGGCAGAGCGCGGCAGGGCACCCCACGGAGCUGCACUAGUCACAUCCGGGCCCCACGCCGGUCGACGGCCGAUGCGCCGCUGGGAGGCCUGCGGCGCGGACGACGGAUGCGGCAGUUGGUCAAGACACGGCAGCCUACUCGAGGUGCUUCUCGCCUGGAGGACGCAGGCGAAUCGCGUUAUCCGAGCUGUGCCUCGUCAUGGUGCGAUGAGCCUUAAUAGACUAAUGCAUAUUCUUCCUUUGGCUGUAAUUCAUUUGCUGCUGCCCGCUGGGCUAAGGAGUAACUCUGGGCGCCUACUUUGGGCAGACGCUCGUCCAGUGCCGCUCUUCGUUUGCCGCACAUAUCUUUAUUUAUUCUUUGUUACAAUUCCGUCUUUGGUCAUUUUUUUUACCAUGGGGGCACUUGAAAGUUUUGUUUUUAAAUCUGUGGACAUUGAACCUGGAAUCGGUUUUAUGUCGGAUUUCGGUUUUGUUUUUGCACUGUGGAAAUAUCUCGUUCAAUAUUUUUAAAGGAAAAGGGCCACCUUUAACAUGGGGAUUGAAACUGAGAUAGCCAUCUUGUAGCCCGUGUCCGAAAACCUAUUUGUCUACCUCCUUACGGCCGAUUUCGGCCUCCAUUCGUAGUUAUCGGCAAUUUUAAAAGAAAAUACGCCAGGAAUGCGUUCUUAUCCCAGGAAUGCGUUCUUAUCCGACAAUACAGCCACCCGCGGCGAGGCUUUGGUUUUUUACCAAUCAGCUCCAACCAGCUCAGCUUUAACCAAUCAGCUUAUCUGACACAAUCCGACGAGUCUGUCUUCUGAACGCUGAUUGGUUUGAGUGUGACGUCAUCGCUAUGCCAUCAUACAGUAGGUGCCGUAGAGAGUAUCAACAUAGUACCAAUAUGUUAAAUAGUUUUAAAUACUUUUUCGCAAAUUGUGCACUUCUGGCACCAGUUUUAAAAAGAAAAUGAAAAAUAAUAAUGUCAAAAUGAAAAACAACGAUAUCUUCAUAUUUCACGAAGGUGGCCCUUUUCCUUUAAGAUAGGGCGUGCUAAAACUUUUAGUCUCAUUACUCCUCUGUGCAUCUAAAUUCUAAAGUACUAUAAUGUGCAUCUCAAGUGUUUGGUGCUGUACUGUUAUUAUUUAUGGUUAAUCCAGUGCUGUACUGUUAUUAUUUAUGGUUAAUCCAGUUUUUAUUCGAUUGAAUCGUUGUGUGUAGUGCAUGACAUCCGCGUACCGCCUGUAGCAGUGUUAUAUAUUUUCAUUUAUGCUGGAAAAUAAUAACUUUCUUGUUCAUUG